GUGCUUGCUUUAGCAGCACAUACACUUAUAUUGGAAUGAUACAGAGAUCAGCAUGGCCCUUGCACAAGGAUGCCACACAAAUUCGUGAAGCAUUCAUAUUAUUU